rnacentral:rRNA from 1 species
UACGUAGGGUGCAAGCGUUAAUCGGAAUUACUGGGCGUAAAGCGUGCGCAGGCGGUUAUGUAAGACAGGUGUGAAAUCCCCGGGCUUAACCUGGGAACUGCAUUUGUGACUGCAUAGCUAGAGUACGGGUAGAGGGGGAUGGAAUUCCGCGUGUAGCAGUGAAAUGCGUAGAUAUGCGGAGGAACACCGAUGGCGAAGGCAAUCCCCUGGACCUGUACUGACGCUCAUGCACGAAAGGCGUGGGGAGCAAACGAGG